AAGCAAAUGUCACCCACGUUUGAUUGACAUCUGUUGCUCCUGAAUGCAAAGGUGGAGUGAAGCUGACAGUACAGUAGAUUUGGAGAGUAAUACAAAUCCUUUCUUUCUGGUUAGAACACACUGCCAAAAGCCAUCUCUUUCAUCUAAGGAAAAGAUUAAAAAUGCAUGUUGAUAUCUCCUAACUAUCACACAACUUCCACUAUUACAAUGAAAAAUCUGUUCCCCUUUCAUUGCCUCUGAAAACUCUUUGACGAGUAGAUUUCAAAAACAGAGAUUUUAAAAAUUUGCUUGCUUUACUGGUGAAGGACAUUUGCAUUUUUUUUUUUUAUUUAUUUAAAGGAAUUAGUUUGUUCUCCUGGCUCAUUCCUCUUUGUUACUUUCUGUUCCAAUACACAGAAAGCUUGAUCAUCUUUGAUCAGCAGAAAUAUCUUUUAUUUAGCAAAGCUCAACUUCCCAAGAGUUAUGCAUGGUGUGCCUAUCUGAAGGUGGUGUUAGCUCUGUUGAAAUGCCUGGGUCUGAGUAACUGUCAUGAUUUUUAUGAUUAAAAACAGACUCUUCAUCAAGAAUAAUGACUAAUUCUAAUUGGUCUUUGUGAUAUGUAAGAUAACUCAUAAAUGAAUUGCAAUGGAUUUUAUUUCGAAUUAACUAUAUAUUUAUCAAAGAGGAACUGGCAGCAAGGGUUUGGAGAAUAUUUUUAGGUACCAAAUAGCAUAGUGAGGAUUCAACCAAAAGAUGAAUUUAUAAGCAGCAGUGCCCAUCACCUAAGUGUUUUAACUAACAGGUUUUAAAAACAUUUUAUUUACACAAAAUAUCAGGGCUGGAUACCUUUUAAAGAGGAGGCUCAAGUAUCGGGCUGUCAUUUCCAAUAGAUCUGACCUUUUCUUCAGAUACAUAAGCAUUAUUUUCUCUGUUUAGGUCCAAGGAAAAACAAAAGGUAAAGGAAAUAAAGGGAAUAUACAUAAGGCAAACAUUUCUCUUUUUUUUUUUGCAUUAUAUCUUACCAAUUAAUUAAAUUGUGGCCUUUGUUAUUAUAAAUGUAAUGAUUCAUUAAACUAUAUUAUGUAAUAUAUUUUGACUUUUAUGAUUGAAUUUUUAUAAUUCAGUAGUGUUAUGUGUUCUUAUACAAACUUUGCAAAACAGCAAAAUGUAUGGCAAAAAUAGAUACCGGAAAGCCAAAGAUAUCAAAAUCAUUUCAGUAGAAGAAUAUAUAGAUAGGUGGACAGUAUAAAAUUAACCUUUCAAAAUAUUUUUAUCAUUGUGAAUUGGUAAUUGUAUUACAGUCAGUAUCCUUUGGGGAAAAAAGUCUCAAAAUUUAACUUCCCUUGUUGCAGAAGCUAUUUUACAGUGCCAUAUUAUUCAUUAAGCAUUAAUUAAAGAACAGCAGGAUAAUUAGUAGGAUCAUCAAUAUUACAAGAAACAUUAGAUCGCUCAAGAAGGAAAUAAUUUAACUAGAAACACUUUAAAUUUUCUCAAGUAGUGCAGCUGAUAGAUUAGGGAGAAAAACAACAACUCCGCUUAGGGGAUAUAGACUUUAAAUCAUUGUUUAGAAAUAGGUACUUCUGUAUUUAUUUUGUUAAGUUAAAAUAAUAGGGCUCAAUUAGGCUGAGUAACUCCCUAGAGGCACAGUUGUAAUAGCUGGUCUCAGAGAAGGCAAACCCUCCUAGUUCUCAUCAGAAGGAAAUGAUCUGUCAUUAGUCCUAGGUAACUGAUUAAUAUCUCACAGUGGACUGGAAAUCGCUGAAUGUUCUCUGCAAGUUUUAUACUCAAGGUGUGAAUUCAUAAGCAACCAUCCUAUUUGAAAGUUAGCCAUUGCUUAGGGUUCUCUAUUAGAAUCUUAUCAAGCACAUUCUCAGUUAUGCCUCUCAGCAACAUUUUAGGAACAACAUUGGUGAGUAUAUGAGAAUAGCCGUGACCUCCAUAUUUCAUCAGCCGGGUUUUCGUAUGUAUGUCAUGUGCUACCAGAAUUCGAUCUUCACAGCCCUCUUCCACCAGGAGACGCACCCUGUGAAAAAUGUUAACUCA
rnacentral:lncRNA from 1 species